UCAAACCAAGCGGCUGCAGGGAUUCCCUUCGGGGAGGAACACUACCUGUCUGACCGGCGGACGGGUGAUUAACUCUUGGGCAACCUGCCCCAUACCGGGGGAUAACAGCCGGAAACGGCUGCUAAUACCGCAUACGCCCAGGAGGCUGCUUAUCUUCCUGGGGAAAACUCCCGUGGUAUGGGAUGGGCCCGCGUCUGAUUAUCUCGUUGGCGGGGUAACGGCCCGCCACGGCGACCAUCAGUAGCCGGCCUGAGAGGGCGGCCGGCCACAUUGGGACUGACACACUGACCACACUCCUGCGGGAGGCAGCAGUAGUGAAUAUUACACAAUGGGGGAAACCGUGAUGCAGCGUCGCCUCGUGAGCGUUGAAGUAUCUCGGUGUGUGAAGGUGUAUCAGCAGGGCAGAAAGUGACAGUUCAUGACUAAGAAACCCAGGCUAACUUCGUUCCCGCAACCGCGGUAAUUCGUAGGGGGCCAGCGUUAUCCGGAUUCUCUGGGGGUAAAGGGAGCGCAGGCGGCUCGGCAAGUUUGGUGUGAAAACCCGGGGCUCAACCCCGGGAAUGCAUUGGAAACUGACGGGCGGUGAGUGCAGAAGAGGACAGUGGAACUCCAUGUGUAGCGGUGGAAUGCGUAGAUAUAUGGAAGAACACCAGUGGCGAAGGCGGCUGUCUGGUCUGCAACUGACGCUGAGGCUCGAAAGCAUGGGUAGCGAACAGGAUUAGAUACCCUGGUAGUCCAUGCCGUAAACGAUGAGUGAUAGGUGUAGGAGGGUUUCCGCCCUUCAGUGCCGGAGCUAACGCAUUAAGCACUCCGCGUGGGGAGUACGACCGCAAGGUUGAAACUCAAAGGAAUUGACGGGGGCCCGCACAAGCGGUGGAGCAUGUGGUUUAAUUCGAAGCCACGCGAAGAACCUUAGCAGGUCUUGACAUCUUGCGUUAUCCUUAGAGAUAAGGCGUUCCCUUCGGCGACGCAAAGACAGGUGGUGCAUGGUUGUCGUCAGCUGGGGUCGAGAGAUGUUGGGUUAAGUCCCGCACACGAGCGCAACCCUAGUUAGUAGCUGCCAGCAUUAAGUUGGGCACUCUAGUGAGACCCCCGGUGACAAACCGGAGGAAGGUGGGGACGACGUCAGAUCAUCAUGCCCCUUAUGACGUGGGCUACACACGUGUUCCAAUGGACGGUCCAUCGAGUGGCAAGCUCGCGAGAGUAAGAUAAUCUCUUAAACCCGUUGUCAGUUUGGAGUGUAGGCUGCAACUCGCCUACAAGAAGUCGGAAUCGGUAGUAAUCGCGGAUCAGCAUGCGGCGGUGAAUACGUUCCCGGCCCUAGUACACACCGCCCGUCA
rnacentral:rRNA from 1 species